CCUACGGGGGGCAGCAGUAAGGAAUAUUGGUCAAUGGAGGCAACUCUGAACCAGCCAUGCCGCGUGCAGGAAGACGGCCCUACGGGUUGUAAACUGCUUUUAUACGGGAAUAAACCUUGCUACGUGUAGCGAGUUGAAUGUACUGUAAGAAUAAGGAUCGGCUAACUCCGUGCCAGCAGCCGCGGUAAUACGGAGGAUCCAAGCGUUAUCCGGAUUUAUUGGGUUUAAAGGGUGCGUAGGCGGCCUAUUAAGUCAGGGGUGAAAGACGGUGGCUCAACCAUCGCAGUGCCUUUGAUACUGAUGGGCUUGAUUACACUUGAGGUAGGCGGAAUGUGACAAGUAGCGGUGAAAUGCAUAGAUAUGUCACAGAACACCAAUUGCGAAGGCAGCUUACUAAGGUGUCAAUGACGCUGAGGCACGAAAGCGUGGGGAUCAAACA
rnacentral:rRNA from 1 species